rnacentral:sRNA from 1 species
CUGGAUUUGAGGACUUCGAGUUUCCCAAUAAAGUAGUAUUAAUGUGCAUUAUCAUUAAUGGCCUUAUUGGAACAGUACUCUCAGAGUUCCUGUGGUUGUGGGGCUGCUUUCUUACCUCAUCAUUGAUAGGCACACUUGCACUAAGCCUUACAAUACCUCUGUCCAUAAUAGCUGACAUGUGUAUGCAAAAGGUGCAGUUUUCUUGGUUGUUUUUUGCAGGAGCUAUCCCUGUAUUUUUUUCAUUUUUUAUUGUAACUCUCCUAUGCCAUUAUAAUAAUUGGGAUCCUGUGAUGGUGGGAAUCAGAAGAAUAUUUGCUUUUAUAUGCAGAAAACAUCGAAUUCAGAGAGUUCCAGAAGACAGCGAACAGUGUGAGAGUCUCAUCUCUAUGCACAGUGUUUCUCAGGAGGAUGGAGCUAGUUAGCUGUUUGUUGUCUGUAGCCCAGGUUUGUAUGUGAGCUGGGUUUAGUAUUGAAUAAGGUUCUUAUCUGUGUGAUAUUCAAAGGGUUGAUUUUCUAUAAUUAGUUGUUUGAGAGGCAAUACAGCCUUAGAGGCUAAAGGGGCUAAAGCCUGGACUCCAGUUCCGUCUUCUCCACAUACUAGCUGUGUGGCCCUAUGCAAGGUUCUUAAUCUCUUGAUGCUCCGGCUUUCUUAUUUGUGAAAUGGGAUUACAGUAGAACCUCCCUUAUGAGGGUGUUAAAAUAGUAAAUACUUGGUAAAUAUAAAGUAUGUAUAAUAGUGCCUGA